rnacentral:rRNA from 1 species
UAAUACGUAGGGUCCGAGCGUUGUCCGGAGUUACUGGGCGUAAAGCGCGCGCAGGCGGCCGCAUAAGCAUGGCGUGAAAGCCCCCGGCUCAACCGGGGAGGGUCGUCGUGGACUGUGUGGCUUGAGGGCGGGAGGGGCUGGUGGAAUGCCCGGUGUAGUGGUGAAAUGCGUAGAGAUCGGGCGGAACACCCGUGGCGAAGGCGGCCAGCUGGACCGACCCUGACGCUGAGGCGCGAAGGCGUGGGGAGCGAACGGGAUUAGAUACCCCGGUAGUCCACGCAGUAAACGAUGCAGACUAGGCGUGGGGGGACUUGACCCCCUCCGUGCCGGAGCGAACGCGGUAAGUCUGCCGCCUGGGGAGUACGGCCGCAAGGCUA